rnacentral:misc_RNA from 1 species
UACGAGGGGUGCAAGCGUUAUUCGGAAUUAUUGGGCGUAAAGGGUGUGCAGGCGGCAUGCUAAGUCAACUGUCUAAUUUCCCGGCCUAACUGGGAGUCGGCAGUAGAAACUGGUGUGCUAGAGUACGGAAGAGAGGAGUGGAAUUCUCGGAGUAGCGGUAAAAUGCGUAGAUCUCGAGAGGAACACCGAUGGCGAAGGCAGCUCCUUGGUCCGAUACUGACGCUGAGACACGAAAGCGUGGGGAGCACACAGG